GACCCGGUGGUGAAAAUGUUAUCACGCCCACUCCUGUUACGCGUCUAUUUGGUUACAGGUGGGAGUCUCUUGUUCGAAUCAAGGCUGGGUCA